rnacentral:lncRNA from 10 species
AUUUACCAGCGUGUUCAGAAUCCAGCACAGGACCAGGAUGUUGAAGGACCUGAUGUAUCUGGGAGCAUGUAGUUUAAGCUGUGCCCACCUGAAUUCGCUGGGGCUGAUGGUGAUGACCUGGAAGACACUCAGGAGGCAGGCAUUGCCAACGCACACAGCCCUGCCCACUCUGUGAACAUAAAACACAAGUUUGCAUCCAAUAUCACUGAGGGAAUCUUUCGACCCAAAAGCAGCCAUUGUUUGUGGGAUUCCUUUAGAGUAUAACCUAGGAGUUGGCUAUGGUCAGGUGCUUGAGAAUCAGAUCUGUGGACCAUAACAUACCUCUGGUGAAACAAAGGAAACUAUAGUGGUAAAGAAGAAAGAAAUUCCCCAGGAAUCCAACUAUGAUCUGAGAUAAGAAGAUCAUGCCUAUUGAAAAAUCCCUGGAGGCCAUUUGUCAUUUUUCAGUGUCUGAUAAUUACAUUCAAAGUGAGAGAACCCUGCGUGGAAACAUAAACUCUGUUUCACUUUUGCAAAUAAAAUCCACUAUUGUCCACUUAC